GACAAACGCUGGCGGCGCGCUUAACACAUGCAAGUCGAGCGAGAACCAGGCCUUCGGGCCUGGGGACAGCGGCGAACGGGUGAGUAACACGUGGGUAAUCAACCCUCGGUACUGGGAUAGCCCGGGGAAACCCGGAUUAAUACCGGAUGGCCCUUCGGAUCUUCGGUUCUGAAGGAAAAGGUAGCUUCGGCCUCCGACCGAGGACGAGCCCGCGGCGGAUUAGCUUGUUGGUGGGGUAACGGCCUACCAAGGCGGCGAUCCGUAGCUGGUCUGAGAGGACGAUCAGCCACACUGGGACUGAGACACGGCCCAGACUCCUACGGGAGGCAGCAGUGGGGAAUUUUGCACAAUGGGCGCAAGCCUGAUGCAGCAACGCCGCGUGUGUGAUGAAGGUUUUCGGAUCGUAAAGCACUUUCGACCGGGACGAACAACCUCUGGCUAACACCCAGGGGCCUGACUGUACCGGGAGAAGAAGCACCGGCUAACUCUGUGCCAGCAGCCGCAGUAACAC
rnacentral:rRNA from 1 species